GCCCCCUCAGGAUCUCACCUGGAGAGUAUCUAGUACUCUACCAGUCUCAACUACGGGAGGCAGAGUCAAGCAGAAGCGUAACCAUUCCAUUCCUAGCUCGGGGCAGUGGCUAGCGAGUGGAAGGCAAUCUGCUACAGAU